rnacentral:rRNA from 1 species
UUGGAGGGCAAGUCUGGUGCCAGCAGCCGCGGUAAUUCCAGCUCCAAUAGCGUAUAUUAAAGUUGUUGCAGUUAAAAAGCUCGUAGUUGAAUUUCGGGAUCAGAUUGUUGGUCGUGCCUCGGUACGCACUGGCAUUAUUGGUUCCUACCUUCUGAAGAACCGCGAUGUCAUUAAUUUGGUGUCGUGGGGAAUCAGGACUGUUACUUUGAAGAAAUUAGAGUGUUUAAAGCAGGC